AAGUGUCAAUGAAGUUACCAUAUGGAGAUCUAUUUUUAUCCUUUGACCCAGAAGGACUCUUAUGCUUCCCACUAUCAAGCAAUGAUGCUGAAGACAGUGAGCGACUUCGUCUUAGACCAGUACCUGCAUUCAGUUCAUCAAUAUCAGGUUCAUUCUUUCAUAAUUUGGAAGAAAAGCUAUUGUAACUACAUGCUACAUUGCCCAACCGACCUUCAAAUGGCUGUUCUGUGAUGCCUUGUUUUUCUGUUUUUGAUGGGGAAACUUCAGAACUGCCAUUGCUAGGUGCUGAAGAUCUGAAAAAGAACAAUUUCUUCAUUGUAUGAACUCUAUACUGGAUUUUAACUGGUGAACUCUACGGCCCUUGACCCCUGCUCUUCACUACCAAACCUACCACAAAUUAAAAACAGUUCACUAUUGAUGGAUGGAUAUAAAGAGAAGAAUCAUAGUAGCAACGCAUCCAUCAUACGCAGUACAUAAAUUAUGAGAGAGAAGUAAAGCUGUACCAAUAGAUGUAACCCCGACGAAAACAAAUUACGAGAUAAAUGAUUAGAAAAAGGAACUAAGUUAGUUAAUUAAUUAGUUACAUCCAUAGAAAAGCUAAUACCAAGUUAAAAAAAUAAGCUGAAAAAAUGCCAGAAAUCCACAAACAGAAAGUACUGUUUAUACAAUGUAAUACAACAACAGUCUAUUGACUGAAAACUCAAAAAGAAACAUAAUAAAUUAGCCAAACACCAUCGAGCUGCCAACGAGAUUUGCAAGAAUCAAUGAAUACAAACGAGAAAACCCAGAAAUCUCAUACUCACCAUCCACCUAUUAAUUUUCAGAAAGAGAAGAAAGAAAAGGUAAUGACAUAGUAAGCUGGGUCAAAAGGAAAAAAAAAAAAACAAGCGGGAUUCAGAAGAAGUAAAGUCUUAUACUAAAGAACAAAUGAACAGGAAAAGAUCUAAAUAACCUGUCCCCCCCACCCCCACAAAACCUCAGUUUCCGAUAUCAUUUCACCGCAAUUAACGGAAACCAAAUUCCACACCCGAUUCUUUCCUUCUCCUCAAACUAAAAAUAAAGUACCAACAUCUCAUUAUCAAUCAAUCCAGUCCACUACUCUUUAGUCAAUAACAAAACUCAACAAUCAAAUAAGAGUAAGUUGAGUCAAAUUUCAAAAUAAGAACAAGAGUCAGCGACUUAC
rnacentral:lncRNA from 1 species